rnacentral:rRNA from 1 species
GGCAAGCGUUGUCCGGAAUUAUUGGGCGUAAAGGGCGCGCAGGCGGGAAUGAAAGUGGGAUGUAUAAGCCCAUGGCUCAACCAUGGGAGGCACCCAAAACUGCAUACCUAGAGUACAGAAGAGGGAAGUGGAAUUCCACGUGUAGCGGUGAAAUGCGUAGAUAUGUGGAGGAACACCAGUGGCGAAGGCGACUUUCUGGUCUGAAACUGACGCUGAGGCGCGAAAGCAUGGGUAGCGAACAGG